rnacentral:lncRNA from 1 species
UGAAAUGAAAAUUUCUAGAUUGCAUAGCUCUUGCCAUUAAAUCAAAUAGUUGUUGAUUCGGAGAAGAUCGGAUUCGUGAACUCUGAUACCAUGUUGAACAAUGGAAGAUACGAACACAUAGAACAGCACAAUACACAAGAUUUACGUGGUUUCCGAUCGCAAGGUCGACUAGUCCACGAAAGAAGAGAUUGAUCUUUAUUGACUUAGAGAAAAGGAGAAGCAGAAUUCAUAAUAUACAGAGGCCAGCAGCCUUGGCUUAAGUAGAGAAGGAAGUAGGUCUA